AUUGAACGCUGGCGGCAGGCCUAACACAUGCCAGUCGAGCGAGCGGCGGACGGGUGAGUAAUGUCUGGGAAACUGCCUGAUGGAGGGGGAUAACUACUGGAAACGGUAGCUAAUACCGCAUACCAUCAGAUGUGCCCAGAUGGGAUUAGCUAGUAGGUGGGGGAACGGCUCACCUAGGCGACGAUCGCUAGCUGGUCUGUGAGGAUGACCAGCCACACUGGAACGAAGUCACGGUCCAUACUCCUACUGGAGGGAGCAGUGGGUAAGAUUGCACAAUGGGCGAAAGCCUGAUCCAGCCAUGCCGCGUGUGUGAAGAAGGUCUUCGGAUUGUAAAGCACUUUAAGUUUGGAGGCGUUACCCGCAGAAGAAGCACCGGCUAACUCCGUGCCAGCAGCCGCGGUAAUAC
rnacentral:rRNA from 1 species